rnacentral:misc_RNA from 1 species
ACGAAAUUUGGCGCGGCAUAAGCUACGCGAUUUUCCCGCGUUUCUACUUUCUCGCUUUUGUUUGGCUUCAGCCAUAUUUGCGGCAUUUGGGAGCUCUAUAGUCUUGGGCAUUUGUUGGUUGCAAGCCAUCUAUAGAGCUUUGUAAUUUGGUGGGUUGCGGGUUUUGUGGAGAUUGCUGCAGGGGAAUGACGUGGAUCUUUAUAAUGUAACGGAGCUUACGACUGCUGGAAUAUUGUGCAGUGAUCUAUAGCUCAGUUUUGUGAAACAUAAGCUUGUCUUUUCUUGAAAUCUCGCCGCCGCGCCGCGCGAUGACGGGCGGCCAGAAGUUCUGUCUGCGCUGGGACGGCUUCAAGUCGCGGCUGUCGUCAGUGUUUGACGAACUGCGCCGGGAGGAAGAGCUGCUGGACGUGACACUCUGCUGCGAUGGCGGACACGCCGUCAAGGCCCACCAGAUCCUGCUGUCGGCCAGCAGUCCCAGCCUCCGCCAGCUGCUCAAGUCGAACCCAUGUCAGCACCCGGUGUUCUUCCUGAAGGAGACCUCGGCGGAGGACCUGCAUGCCAUUAUCCAGUUCAUCUACUGCGGAGAGGUGAACGUGGUCCAGAGCCAGCUGGCCAGCUUCAUCAAGACGGCAGAGAUGCUGCAGAUCAGGGGUCUGAGCGGCGACAGCGACGGAGAUGAAGAUCAGACACCGACUGCUACGGCGCCGCGGCAGAGCUCGGCGCCGCCACCUCGCGAGGCGGAUCAGCCCGCACCCGCCGAGGCUCGACCGAGCAAACGACGACGCCGCCGCUCCAGUGGAACGUCCGACCUGUCCGCGACCUAUGACGCAUCCUCGAGCGCGUCCGCCACCGCAUCCGUGACCGCAUCCUCCAAGACCGCCGCCGGCGGCGUCCCUGCUGCCGCCUCCGCCGCUGCCACCGGCUCCAAGUCUGCUAUUCCGUCAACUAACGUCAGCACAGAUAACAGAGUGGUCGCAGAUGUCCCGAAAGCCGCAUCCGCCUCGGUGAUCGCUGCUGAUGUGAACGUUGUCAGCCUGGAUGAUAUAAAGACUGAGCAGGUGGAUCUCUCAGAUGACGAAGGGCGCUCUAUGGAUGACCCGCUGGGCUUCUUCUCGAGCUUUGAGGGACAUGUCGAUGCCAGCAGUGCCGCCGGCCCGUCGUCUCGCCACUCGCAUGGAGGACCGUCCACAGCUGCAGGGCCGUCAGGACAGGCUGGAGCGACGGCAGCGGGUGAACCAACUGCGCAAGAGGGGUGUCGAUCUCUCCGGAAGACGCGGGGAUCCAACCAGCGUCAGUCCAGUGACGCCAACGUAUUCGCGGUGAUUGAUUUCGACGAGUCACCGAGGAGACCUGUGCCGCCGGCACCGUUCAAAAACUUUCGGUCAGCAGUGGAAGUGAACAACCUAGAGUUUCUCAAAUGGCUACCGGAGGAAAAACGCCGAAGUCUUCCUGUACUAACCAUGGCAGAGGUUACGACACCUGAGCUGGAUGUUCGAAUUCUGUCCUCCAACAUUCUCCAGAAGCUGGCCAGCCAAGAGCCUUUGCUGGAAAUCGAUUGGCGAGAGAUGAUGCAGUCCAUUCACAAGCGAUAUUUGCCUUACGAUCACUAGUAUGUAUGGAUUGUGCAUUCGCAAAGCUCGUCACUGGUAUCUGGCCAUGGCUCAGUCCAUCAUCGACCAGUUUCCGUCCGCGCUCCCUAAAAUGCAGAGACGCGAUGCGCUGGACAUUGUUUUUGGUCGGGUGAAGAACAAGUUUAGGAACAGUCGAAAAUCAACAGACAAGACUAAGAAGCGGCAAAGACUCUCUGGUGUAGAACGCACGCCAGGGUCCUCUACUGCGCGGCGAAACAGUGACGAGAAAGCGACUGAGGCGUCAAAUGACCCCAAUAUCACAUCACUGGAGCAACAGAGUGACGGGAGCACUGGGGCGAAGGGAAGUGAUGUCAAGGCGACCAGUACGCCGCAAAUCCCCGACAUAGACCAAGUCUCAGAUCAUGGUUCUGAAGAACCAUUAAUAGCAGAUGAUGUGGACGUUAGUGAGGAAGAAGAUAGCGAUGAAGCUACGUAGAGGUCAAUUGUUCGCAUUUCAAUACCGAUGAAGUGAAUCGAUCCCGCGUCCUUCGUAAACAGUUGAGAGUGCGUGGAGUGCGGCCAUAAUAGGGGUAUGACGUUUUUAGAUGUGUGUGACUAGGAAUGGUUGGUGUGCUGAAUGAGCUAUCACUGUCUUGAGGAAAACAGGCUGCUAUGCAGUCAUGAAAUUGGAUGCUGAGGAAUAUAAUCAGCAUUUAGCUGACUCUGCAGCUACCCCUUAAUAAGUUUUAUUCAAGUUUUACGUUGAUAUUUAUGUCUGGGUGAGAUAUGCAACCCUAGUUUCUGUAGGUAUAUCAUGGAUUUUUUCAUCUUUUGCUGUCCUCAAUACAAAUUGAAACGUUA